rnacentral:rRNA from 1 species
AUUGAACGCUGGCGGCAUGCCUUACACAUGCAAGUCGAACGAAGUCUUCGGACUUAGUGGCGGACGGGGGAGUAACACGUGGGAACGUACCUUUUGGUUCGGAACAACUCAGGGAAACUUGAGCUAAUACCGGAUGAGCCCUUAGGGGGAAAGAUUUAUCGCCGAAAGAGGGGCCCGCGUUAGAUUAGCUAGUUGGUGAGGUAAAGGCUCACCAAGGCUACGAUCUAUAGCUGGUCUGAGAGGAUGAUCAGCCAAACUGGGACCGAGACACGGCCCAGACUCCUACGGGAGGCAGCAGUGGGGAAUCUUGCGCAAUGGGCGAAAGCCUGACGCAGCCAUGCCGCGUGAAUGAUGAAGGUCUUAGGAUUGUAAAAUUCUUUUACCAGGGACGAUAAUGACGGUACCUGGAGAAAAAGCCCCGGCUAACUUCGUGCCAGCCGCCGCGGUAAUAC